GUGCUCGCUUCCGCGGCACAUAUACUAAAACUGGACCGACACAGAGAAGAUUAGCAUGGCCCUGCACAAGGAGUGCACGCAAAUUCCUGGAACGUUCCAUAUUUUU
ensembl:snRNA U6 U6 spliceosomal RNA